rnacentral:rRNA from 1 species
GUAGGCAGCAAGCGUUGUUCGGAGUUACUGGGCGUAAAGGGUGUGUAGGCGGCCUGUUAAGUUCCGUGUGAAAUCUCCCGGCUCAACCGGGAGGGUGCGCGGAAAACUGGCGGGCUAGAGUACGGGAUGGGAGAGUAGAAUUCCUGGUGUAGCGGUGAAAUGCGUAGAUAUCAGGAGGAAUACCGGUGGUGUAGACGGCUCUCUGGACCGUAACUGACGCUGAGACACGAAAGCGUGGGUAGCAAACAGGAUUAGAUACCCUGGUAGUCCACGCCCUAAACGAUGCAUAUUUGGUGUAGGCAGUUCAUUCUGUCUGUGCCGGAGCUAACGCGUUAAAUAUGCCGCCUGGGGAGUACAGUCGCAAGGCUG